ACUGUGGUAAUUCUAGAGCUAAUACAUGCACCCAAGCCCCGACUCGGGGGGCAACUCUCGAGAAAGGGCGCUUUUAUUAGAUCAAAACCAGUCGAGAGCUUCGGCUCUCGUUAAGUUUGGUGACUCUGGAUAACUUCACGCUGAUCGCACGGUCUUCGCACCGGCGACGAUUCUUUCAAAUGUCUGCCUUAUCAACUGUCGAUGGUAGGUUAUGCGCCUACCAUGGUUGCAACGGGUAACGGGGAAUCGGGGUUCGAUUCCGGAGAGGGAGCCUGAGAAACGGCUACCACAUCCAAGGAAGGCAGCAGGCGCGCUAAUUACCCACUCCCGGCACGGGGAGGUAGUGACGAAAAAUAACGAUACGGGACUCUUCCGAGGCCCCGUGAUUGGAAUGAGUACACUUUAAAUCCUUUAACGAGGACCCAUUGGAGGGCAAGUCUGGUGCCAGCAGCCGCGGUAACUCCAGCUCCAAUAGCGUAUAUUAAAGUUGUUGCGGUUAAAAAGCUCGUAGUCGGAGUUCUGUCUUCGGCCGAGGGGGGAUUCUGCCUACACGGUAUGAGUCUCGUUCCCUUUGGGUGUGCGGUGUCAAAGCCGUGCACUCUUAACGGUCGGACAAGUCCGUCGGAGUGUGGUUAUUGUUGGAAGGGCAACCGACCAAUGAGGCCACCGUAAUCGUUCGGGGUGCCUUUAAUCGGGUGUCUCGGGCGGCCGACAUAGUUUACUUUGAACAAAUUAGAGUGCUCAAAGCAGGUGACUACCGCCUGAAUAGUACAGCAUGGAAUGAUGAAAGAGGACCUCGGUCUGAUUUUGCUGGUCUUUAACGGUCGGGCUUCGGCCCGGCCUAUGCAGACCCGAGGUAAUGGUCAAUAGAGACGGACGGGGGCAUCCGUACUGCGGCGACAGAGGUGAAAUCCUUGGACCGCCGCAAGACGAACGACAGCGAAGGCAUUUGCCAAGAAUGUUUUCCUUGAUCAAGAACGAAAGUUAGAGGUUCGAAGGCGAUCAGAUACCGCCCUAGUUCUAACCAUAAACGAUGCCAACUAGCGAUCCGCCGGUGUUACUCCCAUGACUCGGCGGGCAGCUUCCGGGAAACCAAAGUCUUUGGGUUCCGGGGGAAGUAUGGUUGCAAAGCUGAAACUUAAAGGAAUUGACGGAAGGGCACCACCAGGAGUGGAGCCUGCGGCUUAAUUUGACUCAACACGGGAAACCUCACCAGGCCCGGACACUGGAAGGAUUGACAGAUUGAGAGCUCUUUCUUGAUUCGGUGGGUGGUGGUGCAUGGCCGUUCUUAGUUGGUGGAGCGAUUUGUCUGGUUAAUUCCGAUAACGAACGAGACUCUAGCCUGCUAAAUAGGUGCCGGG
rnacentral:rRNA from 1 species